AGUGAAGAAAUGGAGGCCCAGAGUCACUUAGAAGAUGCCCAAAGGUGCACAGCUGCUAAGUGGUGGCGCUGGGAUUUGUCCUCAGGUCCUCGAGAGUCCUGACUCUUAUCUGCUGGCUCCCCACAGGGGCGUGGAGUCUUGUUUGCUGGGCAUUUGACAGAAAUGUUUCUGCUCAUCUUCUGCCACAGUGACUCGGGAAUAGCUGCCCUGCCACUAAGGCGAUUGUCUUCUGGAAGCAGCCACGCCGUGUGAGGUUCCUCAUCACUGCCCUGCAUCUCCCUGCGAGCUCUCGGGGAUAACUGCCAAAUCACUUUUGAUUCCAGGGAAGCAGAAAGCAGCAGGAGCCGUGAAUUCUCCAACUCUUAACUGGUCCUCGACUGGGGCCACUUUGCCCUGCCCACUCAUCCCUGUGGCGGAUUCAUUAGUUAUCCAAAGCUGGUUUUGACUUUGCUCCCCCUGGCUCAGAAGUCUGUCAGUGGGUCCUGAGCAGCUUCACCAUUCAAGUUUAUUCCUAUCAGCCUGGAAUACAAUGCUCUAUCUGGC
rnacentral:lncRNA from 1 species